AUGGAGGAGACAGUGAUGUACCUCCGGCUUAGCCAAGACCGAGGCCAGGGAAUACCGCAGACCAACAUGAGUGGGGAACAGGUGAGUUUCUGUCUUACUAUAUAAUUAACCAUUUAGAUGUUUUCACAAAGCGACCCUACUAGUGUCAGUAAAAUUCACAAUAAGGGCUGUAAAGUUGGUAACAUGAUUGAUUA
ensembl:lncRNA